rnacentral:rRNA from 1 species
GUAACAUAGGAAAGCUUGCUUUUCUGAUGACGAGUGGCGCACGGGUGCGUAACGCGUAUAGAACCUACCCUUUACAGGGGGAUAGCCCGGAGAAAUUCGGAUUAAUACCCCAUAGUACUAUUUAGAGGCAUCUUUAGAUGGUUAAAGUUUUUACGGUAAAGGAUGGCUAUGCGUCCUAUUAGUUGGUAGGUGAGGUAACGGCUCACCUAGACUUCGAUAGGUAGGGGCCCUGAGAGGGGGAUCCCCCACACUGGUACUGAGACACGGACCAGACUCCUACGGGAGGCAGCAGUGAGGAAUAUUGGACAAUGGUCGGGAGACUGAUCCAGCCAUGCCGCGUGCAGGAAGACUGCCCUAUGGGUUGUAAACUGCUUUUUUACGGGAAGAAUAAUACCCACGUGUGGGUAGAUGACGGUACCGUAGGAAUAAGGACCGGCUAACUCCGUGCCAGCAGCCGCGGUAAUACGGAGGGUCCGAGCGUUAUCCGGAAUUAUUGGGUUUAAAGGGUCCGCAGGCGGGCCAGUAAGUCAGGGGUGAAAGUUUGCGGCUUAACCGUAAAAUUGCCUUUGAUACUGCUGGUCUUGAGUUGCGGUGAAGUGGCCGGAAUAUGUGGUGUAGCGGUGAAAUGCAUAGAUAUCACAUAGAACACCGAUUGCGAAGGCAGGUCACUAACCGCCGACUGACGCUGAUGGACNAAAGCGUGGGGAGCGAACGGGAUUAGAUACCCUGGUA